rnacentral:rRNA from 1 species
AGCCAUGCAUGUGUCAGUACAAACUAAAAUAAAGUGAAACCGCGAAUGGCUCAUUAAAUCAGCUAUGAUUCCUUGGAUCUGUACACCCAGUUUCCUUGGAUAACUGUGGUAAUUCUAGAGCUAAUACAUGCACAUAUAGUCCCUAACCUUACGGGAAGGGCGCUUUUAUUAGUAUCAAAACUGGUCGGGCUUCGGUCUGUAAAAUCCAAUUGUGAUGACUCUGGAUAACUUUUAGCUGAGCGCACGGUCUUUGCACUGGCGCCGCUUCUUUCAAGUGUCUGCCUUAUCAGCUUUCGAUUGUAGGUCAUGUGCCUACAAUGGCUAUAACGGGUAACGGGGAAUCAGGGUUCGAUUCCGGAGAGGGAGCCUGAGAAACGGCUACCACAUCUAAGGAAGGCAGCAGGCACGCAAAUUACCCACUCCCGGCACGGGGAGGUAGUGACGAAAAAUAACGAUGCGAGACUCAUCCGAGGCCUCGCAAUCGGAAUGAGUACACUUUAAAUCCUUUAACGAGGAUCAAUUGGAGGGCAAGUCUGGUGCCAGCAGCCGCGGUAAUUCCAGCUCCAAUAGCGUAUAUUAAAGCUGUUGCGGUUAAAAAGCUCGUAGUUGGAUUUCAGUAUUGGACUGAUGGUUCACCGUACGGUGUUUAACCUAUCACGCUCCGAAACCAGCUAACGCAACAAGUUUGUGUAUGCCCCACUAGCUCACACGGGGUGCUCUUAACCGAGUGUCCCGAGUGGCUGGUAUGUUUACUUUGAAAAAAUUAGAGUGCUCAGAGCAGGCUCAUAACUGUAUGGCCUGAAUGUCUAUGCAUGGAAUAAUGUAAAAGGACCUCGGUUCUAUUUUGCCAGUUUUCUUCGGAACCCGAGGUAAUGACUAAUAGAGACAGACGGGGGCAUUAGUACUGCGACCCUGGAGGGGAAAUUCUUGGACCGUCCCAAGACUAACUACUGCGAAAGCAUUUGCCAAGGAUGUUUU